AGUGAACGCUGGCGGUAGGCCUAGCACAUGCAAGUCGAACGGCAGCACAGUAAGAGCUUGCUCUUACGGGUGGCGAGUGGCGGACGGGUGAGGAAUACAUCGGAAUCUACUUUUUCGUGGGGGAUAACGUAGGGAAACUUACGCUAAUACCGCAUACGACCUACGGGUGAAAGCAGGGGAUCUUCGGACCUUGCGCGGUUGAAUGAGCCGAUGUCGGAUUAGCUAGUUGGCGGGGUAAAGGCCCACCAAGGCGACGAUCCGUAGCUGGUCUGAGAGGAUGAUCAGCCACACUGGAACUGAGACACGGUCCAGACUCCUACGGGAGGCAGCAGUGGGGAAUAUUGGACAAUGGGCACAAGCCUGAUCCAGCCAUACCGCGUGGGUGAAGAAGGCCUUCGGGUUGUAAAGCCCUUUUGUUGGGAAAGAAAAGCAGCAGGUUAAUACCCCGCUGUUCUGACGGUACCCAAAGAAUAAGCACCGGCUAACUUCGUG
rnacentral:rRNA from 1 species